AUUAAUCCUUCUUGCUCUCCGCUGAGCUUUUGGAUUUAGGUCUUCUCGCAUUUUCAAAUCCAAAAUUCAAUCUCUAUCCACACCUGACUUGAUCCAUCCUUCUUCGUUUUCUUCUUCGUCUUCCGAGGCUUAAUCUAAAGCAAUCAAUUAGGGUUUUCAAUAAUCUGUUGCUCUUUUCUUCAAUUCUCUGCCAUUGGCGACCUCGUCUUACAGCUUUUACUAGUUAACUUUAAUUCCUAACUUUAUGAACUUCAAUUGUGAAAACAAGGAAAUGACGGGUCGUUCCUUAUCGCAUGAUCGAAAUUCUGUUCAAUCCCAUGCUUCUAGUAAUUCGCUUCGAAGUGGUAGAAAUGCUUUGUGUUUGUUAGUGCGGAGAGAG
rnacentral:misc_RNA from 1 species